rnacentral:rRNA from 1 species
UACAGAGGUCCCAAGCGUUGUUCGGAUUCACUGGGCGUAAAGGGUGCGUAGGCGGUCGGGUAAGUCUGAUGUGAAAUCUCACAGCUUAACUGUGAAACUGCAUUGGAUACUAUUCGGCUUGAGAGUUGGAGGGGGGACUGGAAUUCUUGGUGUAGCAGUGAAAUGCGUAGAUAUCAAGAGGAACACCAGUGGCGAAGGCGAGUCCCUGGACAACUUCUGACGCUGAGGCACGAAAGCUAGGGGAG